rnacentral:lncRNA from 10 species
CCUCCCACCUCCCUCCGCGCCUAGACACGCCCCUUAAUUUGCAUAAAGGGCGGGGCACUUUCUACCCUAACCCUCUACUUCCAGGGCUGUCUUUAGUUUAAAAAAAAAAAAAAAAGGGCCGGGCGCGCGGAGCAUGCGGAGGUUAUUUGCAUAAAGAGGAGGGACUUAAGGGCACUAGGACCCCGAUUGGCUAAGGAGGCGGGCCCCCAGCGUCGGCCGUUGAGCCGUGUUGAGGGGGCGGGAAUGCGGUGCAGGUCGGCUGGGCGGUUGGGACGCAGAAUUUACACGACGAAUGUGGGAGAAAGAGGCGGAGCGUGCGUCGGACGUUAGUAGAAAGAUGGGAGCGGAGAGACGUUGGGACGCCAAAAGUGGAAGGCAACGACACACGGCCCGUGGCGCCUUCAGCUAGGGAGAAAGAGAGAGAGGACGGGGGCUGGCGGGCGGGAUUAGCUGCCGGAGGGCUGAGUUUCCGCAGGCCUGGUAAGAGUUCCAGCUCUCGCAUCCCUUUGCCGUGAGUUUGAGGAGGUGGUUGGAGCGGGGAAAUGCACCAGAGGGGCGGGGCCUUCCAGUUAUUAUAUUACGUCAUGCAAAUGAGGUGGCUAGACAGACCAAUCCAAAGGCCCCGGGAAGCGUUUCGUCCGCACCACGCAGCGUAGGCAUUCUUCGGGCAGUUCUACCUAUUUGCAUAAUGUAUGCAAAUCAUUUGAACAAAGAUAGGCUAGGAAUGACUCGUUCAUCAAAAUAUGGGCAACCAUCGACUAAGACGGACAUUUAAUUUUAUAACCUAUAAUUUUCAUGAAUAAAUUUUUAUAUUUGAAAUUAUUGGGAAUUUGUAAUUUCUUAACAAUGGGUUUCAUUUUGUGAAAUGCAGUACUGUUACCCUCCUUUGUCUCUUACUACCCGAUUCUAGAACUCUCUGCUCCCAUCAGAGUUAUACCCAUUCAACAGAUCAUUCAAUGACUAUGAUUUGAAGGCGCUGGAGAUAAUGCACAGGAUAUUAUAGAAGUAGAGAAAUAAGGCCUGGCGCGGUGGCUCACGCCUGUAAUCCCAGCACUUUGGGAGGCCUAGGCAGGUGGAUCACGAGAUCAGGAGUUCAAGACCAGCCUGGCCAACAUGAUGAAACCCC